GGCUGGUCCAAGUGCAGUGGUGUUGCAACAAAUUGACCACAACCAUUUGCAGAUUUAUUUGUUCCUUUUCCACUCCCACUGCUUCACUUGACUGGCCUUAA
ensembl:Y_RNA Y_RNA Y RNA